GGUGAGAUGGCCGAGUGGUUGAAGGCGCAUGCCUGGAAAGUAUGUAUAUAAUUAAAAUGUAUCAAGGGUUCGAAUCCCUUUCUCACCA
rnacentral:tRNA from 1 species